rnacentral:rRNA from 1 species
AGUGAACGCUGGCGGUAGGCCUAACACAUGCAAGUCGAACGGCAGCACAGUAAGAGCUUGCUCUUACGGGUGGCGAGUGGCGGAUGGGUGAGGAAUACAUCGGAAUCUACUUUUUCGUGGGGGAUAACGUAGGGAAACUUACGCUAAUACCGCAUACAACCUACGGGUGAAAGCAGGGGAUCUUCGGACCUUGCGCGAUUGAAUGAGCCGAUGUCGGAUUAGCUAGUUGGCGGGGUAAAGGCCCACCAAGGCGACGAUCCGUAGCUGGUCUGAGAGGAUGAUCAGCCACACUGGAACUGAGACACGGUCCAGACUCCUACGGGAGGCAGCAGUGGGGAAUAUUGGACAAUGGGCGCAAGCCUGAUCCAGCCAUACCGCGUGGGUGAAGAAGGCCUUCGGGUUGUAAAGCCCUUUUGUUGGGAAAGAAAAGCAGCAGGUUAAUACCCCGCUGUUCUGACGGUACCCAAAGAAUAAGCACCGGCUAACUUCGUG